GAUGAACGCUGGCGGCGUGCCUAAUACAUGCAAGUCGAGCGAACGGACGAGAAGCUUGCUUCUCUGAUGUAGCGGCGGACGGGGGAGUAACACGUGGAUAACCUACCUAUAAGACUGGGAUAACUUCGGGAAACCGGAGCUAAUACCGGGUAAUAUUUUGGACCGCAUGGGUCAAAAGUGAAAGACGGUCUUGCUGUCACUUAUAGAUGGAUCCGCGCUGCAUUAGCUAGUUGGUAAGGUAACGGCUUACCAAGGCAACGAUGCAUAGCCGACCUGAGAGGGUGAUCGGCCACACUGGAACUGAGACACGGUCCAGACUCCUACGGGAGGCAGCAGUAGGGAAUCUUCCGCAAUGGGCGAAAGCCUGACGGAGCAACGCCGCGUGAGUGAUGAAGGUCUUCGGAUCGUAAAACUCUGCUAUUAGGGAAGAACAUAUGUGUAAGUAACUGUGCACAUCUUGACGGUACCUAAUCAGAAAGCCACGGCUAACUACGUG
rnacentral:rRNA from 1 species